UACGUAGGGUGCAAGCGUUGUCCGGAAUUAUUGGGCGUAAAGAGCUCGUAGGCGGUUUGUCGCGUCUGCUGUGAAAACUGGAGGCUCAACCUCCAGCCUGCAGUGGGUACGGGCAGACUAGAGCGCGGUAGGGGAGAUUGGAAUUCCUGGUGUAGCGGUGGAAUGCGCAGAUAUCAGGAGGAACACCGAUGGCGAAGGCAGAUCUCUGGGCCGUAACUGACGCUGAGGAGCGAAAGCGUGGGGAGCGAACAGG
rnacentral:rRNA from 1 species